ACUCAAAUGAAUAGACGGGGACCUGCACAAGCGGUGGAGCGUGUGGUUUAAUUCGUCAGCAAGCGAAGAACCUUACCAAGGUUUGAAAUCUCUAGAAAGCUCUAGAAAUAGAGCCGUGCCGCAAGGAACUAGAUGACAGGUGUUGCACGGUUGUCGUCAGCUCGUGCUGUGAAGUGUCCCGUUCAGUCGGUUAACGAGCGCAACCCCUAUCCUGUGUUAUAUUUCUCACAGGAAACUGCCCUGGUUAACAGGGAGGAAGGUGGGGACGACGUCAAAUCAGCGUGGCCCUUACGUCUUGGGCUACACACGCGCUACAAUGGGAAGUAACAAUGGGUUGCUAAAUCGUGAGAUGGAGCUAAUCCCACCAAACCUUCCCUCAGUUCGGAUUGAAGGCUGCAACUCGCCUCCAUGAAGUCGGAAUCGCUAGUAACGGCCAGUCAGCUAUAUGGCCGUGAAUACGUUCUCAGGUCUUGUACACACCGCCCGU
rnacentral:rRNA from 1 species